CUGGAACCAGUUAUGUUAUGCUUCGGGUUGCAUCUCCAUGGCUUAUUGAACUUUCUAUCUGUGCUUCCUUUAAAGAUAAAAGCCUCAAGAGUUGGCUCAAGUGAGCUUGCCCAGUGCUGCAAAAGAGCAGUGGAGGUGCAUGCAAGGAUACUGUUAACUGAGAAGUUGGGCCGAGUUAAAUGGUACCCUUAAUCCCCUUGAUGUCUGGCAGAGUCAAGUUAAAAGGUCUUCCCCACUUGGGGUGAAGGCUUUGCAUGUGUAGAUGCUGGUUCACUUAAGGGCAAUGCUGCCUCUGUGGUGAAAGAACCUUCUUCUCUGCUGGCGUUUGCUUCGUUGCUGAAGGAAGGAGAAACUUCUGCAGUGUCUUGUGUCAAGUGGGGGCCUGGGCUGAAGUUUUGUUCCAUGGAGGCUUUCAACAAACAGCAAGAGACAUGGCAGAGGGCUAGAAACAGGACAAACAGAUGAAAAUUAAACCUGCAGCAGAUGUGAGGCUCAAUGUGUCAGCUCAACCUCAGGGGCAAGAAAAAGAGAAGUUGAAACUGGUUUCUUCCAUCUGAGAUGGCCACAGGCGAAGAGCAAACACACUUGGUCAAUUACCGUGGCUCAGAUGAUGCAUGGUAUUGCCAUUUUCAGGUCAAAUUUUAGAGUUAGUAGGAACUUUUCCAUGGGCUUUGUACAACAAUAUUCCACUGCGCACAGUGAGAAGUUUGAACACCCUUCGUUUCAGCGUCUAAUUUUGAGAUGAACUUGUAUCUUUCUUAAAAAAACAAAACAACAAGACCACCAAUAGCAAAAGAAAACCACCGGCCCCAAACUUUCACCUUUCUUCUCAGGUAAGACCUGUUUUCUUACUCCACUCUGUGGGAAAACUAAGAAUACGUUAGCUUAUUUCCAACUGUGAUUUGCUAAACUGAAGCUAAAGAUGGAAGAAUUCCAAACCUAGCAGUCUGGACCCUCUCAAACUAUGACUGGGGCCAGGGAAACAAGGUACCAGACAUCAAAACUUUGGAUGCUUUUUUUCUUUUCAUGUAGUAACUGAAACUCAGUUCAUCUUUCUCUGCUUCCACGUAAUACAAGGAAAGACAUUUGAUUAGAUUAUGUGAGAUACUUUUUAAGGCAGAUGGAUUCAACACAUGGCUGCAGGACCAGGCUUUAUUAUCUCGACUAACGUGGACACAUUUUGAACACUGCUUCUCACUCUGCCAUCAGCCGCCACCACCUCUGCAGUACUGUGACAGCAAGAGAAAAAGGACAGGGAAGUGAUAAAGUUUGCACACGUAAGCAGAAAAGAACUUUCUGUCCAAAGCCAGCUGGCUUGGCUUGGCACUGAAGUGGCAUUUUAGCACAAGAUGACACGUUUAUGCGUGUACUGGAGCUAUGUUUCAAAACACUUGCCCUAGAUGCCACAGGAAGGGUCUGUGAAAUAGUUUAUCACCAAGUAACCAUAGAGAGCAGGUGAGCUGUCUGAAUACCAGUUUGUCUUCUGAGCUGGCAGACAAAUGAAACCACAGGAAGGAAUCAAAGCAAAUAUGCUGCUGCUUUUAAUAAUUAGAAUUGAGCGUAUUUUCAGGGAAGUUUUGGGAAAGCAUGCGAUAAUCCUAUAUCACAGCCAAGAGGACAAUACGUCCAUUAAUAAAUGCCUGAUACCGUUUGCUCUGAUACAAAACUCAGAAAUGCACACCAGCCAAUCCAUGUUAACACAGGUCAUUUCUUUAAGUCUUGUUUUCCAAAUUAGAGCAAACCCGCCAGCAUAAGAUGAAUGGGCAUCUUGCCUUUACCUGAUAAAGUGCCUGAACGAUUAGGGAGGCUGAUGGCUUCUAUAAAUCCUGUGGGACACAGAUCAGUCAUCCCACGUGUAACCCCAAAGAAAUAACUGAAAAUAAAUCACAGCAACAUUUGUACUUUGGAGUCUGGAUACCAUCAUAAAAUGCCAAAAAUGCACCUUGUAUACUGCCCAAGUUUAAAGAUUAAACUUUAUUUCAGAAGUUAACUGCUAUAAAAGUUUCUUUGCUAUAUGUUGCACAUUAUAACAGAUCACGCAGACCUUUUGUGGGCUCUGUGUGUGAAGUUUACAAGACCAGGACAGUAGCAUAUGUCUCGUGUGCAAUUUGAUCAAUAGAGUUUACAGCAAAACAGAUCAAGUCUAGGAAAAAUAAUGCUUAGAUUUACAUGUUAAGAGCAGCACUUGCUGUCUGCAGUGGGAGCCAAGGAUGCUCUGAGCAAGACAGAAUUACCUGCCUUUCAAGAGUUCCACAAGUCAUUUGUCACGAGGUCCCACCAACUUCACAUCUACUUUAAAAAGCAGUUUGAAGACUUUUUAGGUAUUAUGGUCUCCUAUAUCUAUUUCUGUCUCUUUUGUUUCCUAACAGCAUGAGAUACUGACCACACAUACUGCAGUCAAAUAUAGAAAUUAAACCUACAGGAAAAAGGAUGUCUUCUCUUUAAUCUCUUGGAGAAUUUUCCAGACUAAAGCAUAGUUCUUAAAUUGAUAAUAUCCCUUUAAGAAUUUAUUUGCCAGGUAAUGUUAGAAGAAAAAAGAGAUUAGGGCUAGUUUGAACAUUAGAAAGGCCCUUUUUAAAAUCAAUUUCAAGUCUGUAUUAGAGAUGAGCGUUGUCUGAACAUGCUUCCAGCAGAUAAAAUAUAUUCUGCACCUUAGGAACGCAAAUAACUUGAAAAUCCUUGAGACUCCCAGCUCUUUGCAAAAAGGUCAAACUCUAUCCUAAGAAAUAUUUCAUUGCAUAGAAAUAAUGGUUUAGUGUUGCCGUAUAUGAAAGUCAGAAUCUGUAAGGCUACGAAGUUAAUAACAGAUCAAGGGCUGAAGUUUUUGAAUAAUGUAGUAAAUAUUUCUUAAAUGAGUGAAAUGAUACGAUACCACGGGAAGAGAGAAAUGCGUUUUAAUAAAGAAAAUAUUGAAUGUAAGAAUAUUUCUUUAGAUCUACCAUGCAAUCUGUGUGUUCUCUAUGAGAUGUCAAACUACACGGUGCAUAUGUACACUGCGCUCUCUAUAAAUAUACAUGUGCAUGACAUAUUUCUGAAGGCAGUAAAUGAAUGCUGGGGAAAUACGGCAACAAUGAAGUUCCUAAGAGAAGGUUAGUUUUUCAAGUUAUUAAAAGAAGGUGGCAAGCAUUCAUGAGGAUAUGAAAAUUUAAAGCUGUCUGCAGGAAACUCUGAAAACCUCUGGUUAAGGCUGCUGCCAAAAAAUCUCAGCUAUGUUAUGUCAGAAUAUUUAAUUGCAAGCUGCAAUUUUAAUGAAUGGAAAGAUAUGGCAAAAGGAGGAAGUUUUCUGCAGCAACACAGAACAGCCAUGAAAAUAAAAUGCCAAAGGUUGUAAUCUUGGACGCUGUAGGAAUCAGGAAUUUCCAUCCACGUUCUGACUCCUUUUCCUACUGUGAGAGUUUGCCAGCUGCCUGGCUGAAGGGAGGUAAGCUGUUCUG
ensembl:lncRNA